GUCAGAACUGUCGACUCUAUGCAGACUUGUGGCACUGCCUAUCAAAUAUAAUUCAAGCUGAGGAGAUGAAAGACUUUGGUGAUGGAAGCCACAGGGCUUUAGUUCUCCACUAAGAAUAGGUGUGCUCGGUUGUCUUGGACACUCCUAAUGUCCCCUGUGACAGGUCAG